AAGGUAAAAGAAAAUUACAAUAAAAGGUCUUAACAAUCUAAUAAGAUUAUAGAGAAAUUAUAAUUAAAUGUUAACAAUUAUAAUCAAAAAUUAAGCAAGCUCAAUUAAAUUUUAUUGAAGUUAUAAAAGAAACACAAAGAAAUCCUAAAGAAAUAUAAAAGAAUAUUAAAAAAAACUUAGUCAAAUCCUAACAAAAAUCUAAAUAAACCUUAAAUUCUAACCAAACACUGAUCCUAAUCCAAUAUUAAUCAAAUCCUAGACAAAUCCUAAAUCCUAAACAUACCCUAGUCAAAUCUUAGACAAAUCCUAACCCUAAUAAAUCCUAAUCAAUUCCAAAUCUUAAACAAACCCUAGUCAAAUCCUAAACAAACUCUAAUCAAAUCCUAAUCAAACCCUAACUCUAAAUCCUAAUCAAAUCCUAAUCCUAACCAAAUCCUAAAUCCUAAACCAAAUCCUAACUAAACCCUAAUCCUAAAUCCUAAUCAAA
rnacentral:lncRNA from 1 species